rnacentral:rRNA from 1 species
AUUGAACGCUGGCGGCAGGCCUAACACAUGCAAGUCGGACGGUAGCACAGAGAGCUUGCUCUUGGGUGACGAGUGGCGGACGGGUGAGUAAUGUCUGGGGAUCUGCCCGAUAGAGGGGGAUAACCACUGGAAACGGUGGCUAAUACCGCAUAACGUCGCAAGACCAAAGAGGGGGACCUUCGGGCCUCUCACUAUCGGAUGAACCCAGAUGGGAUUAGCUAGUAGGCGGGGCAAUGGCCCACCUAGGCGACGAUCCCUAGCUGGUCUGAGAGGAUGACCAGCCACACUGGAACUGAGAAACGGUCCAGACUCCUACGGGAGGCAGCAGUGGGGAAUAUUGCACAAUGGGCGAAAGCCUGAUGCAGCCAUGCCGCGUGUAUGAAGAAGGCCUUCGGGUUGUAAAGUACUUUCAGCGGGGAGGAAGGCGGCAAGGUUAAUAACCUUGCCGAUUGACGUUACCCGCAGAAGAAGCACCGGCUAACUCCGUGCCAGCCGCCGCCGUAA